rnacentral:rRNA from 1 species
UUUGAACGCUGGCGGCAUGCUUUACACAUGCAAGUCGAACGGCAGCGCGGGCUUCGGCCUGGCGGCGAGUGGCGAACGGGUGAGUAAUGCAUCGGAACGUGCCCAGUAGUGGGGGAUAGCCCGGCGAAAGCCGGAUUAAUACCGCAUACGACCUGAGGGUGAAAGCGGGGGACCGAAAGGCCUCGCGCUAUUGGAGCGGCCGAUGUCGGAUUAGCUAGUUGGUGGGGUAAAGGCUUACCAAGGCGACGAUCCGUAGCUGGUCUGAGAGGACGACCAGCCACACUGGGACUGAGACACGGCCCAGACUCCUACGGGAGGCAGCAGUGGGGAAUUUUGGACAAUGGGGGCAACCCUGAUCCAGCCAUGCCGCGUGCGGGAAGAAGGCCUUCGGGUUGUAAACCGCUUUUGUUCGGGAAGAAAUCCUCUGGGCUAAUACCCCGGGGGGAUGACGGUACCGGAAGAAUAAGCACCGGCUAACUACGUG